AAAAUUAGCCACUCUCAAUCUCGCCUCUAUUCAUCAUAGCAUAGAUAGAAAUAAUUGUAACAAGAUUAGUAAAAGAAGGUUAAUUUCUGCGUGAAAUGUUAGAAAGCAUAAUUAAUAAUAAAGUAAAAUUAGCCACGGUAAAUUCGUAACAGUUGAUCCGCAUUGGUCAAUAAAGAGAAGGAAAUUAAUCAUUGCGUUAGUAAUGAAAACAGAAGUUGCUUGUCAUUCUGUUUAGUGAAAAAGUAGAGAGAAGAGUAUUAACGAAGUUCACGGAAAGCAAAAGAAAACUAAUAUCGAAGAAAUGAAUUACCGUUUAAUCCGUAACAGCGGCUCACUUAAAUAUCCCGUGAACGUAAGGCACGCGUGCAAAGAAUUGAAACUAGAAAAAGAAACAAAGCGAAGAAAUUAAAAAGAGAACGCUGUCGAACUGAACAGCGGACACGAACCGGCUCUCUACAUCCACGUUCAUAAUCGAUCUUUUCUUCAGCCCGAUCCCUAAAUCACAGUUUCAGAAUUUCUAACGAGAAUUCGAUUUCCUUCCAAAGCAAACAGAAACGUUAGUACUUGAUGUGCGCUUUGAACGAAAUUUGAUGGCUGUUACCAUUUCCACGUUUCGCUCUUUCUUUAUAAUCGCUCAACCAACUCGACGAUCUUUGCUUCCACCGUGCGAAAUAUUAGUUUCGAGAAUAAAUCAUCAAUAACGACGAAUCGCUGGUUUCUGCUAGAUUUAAUGAAUUUUCCUGACAACUAUACAGAGCGAUUCGCGUAAGCGUCCCAGUUGAAGUUAGACAAAAAAUGACAAAGAAAAAAGAUAAAUGACGUAGAGAAAUCCAUUUUUCUACGCUUUGACAUUUUUCGUAAAUACAACGAUGCACAAAAGAAAAGUAAAAACGCAUGUACAUCUUCUUUUUAAAGUUCUAAUUUAAGUUACUAUGGUACGUCGUUUGUUAUAGAAAUUUUCUGUUUCUCUAUUUUUUCAUCGGGCGAUUUCGCGUUUCUAACGCAGACGUGGAUUCUGCCUAUAAUAGCGGUUUCACGUGAAACACAUCGGGGAAUGCCAUCCUGUUAAAGCAGUUCCAAAGGACUUGCGGACUAUGCAUCGCUCUUCAUUUACAUGGCAAAAUAGAGGGCGAAGCGCUUCGCGAAACUUGCUCGGCCACGAAAAUUGAAUAGCAAGUUCCGCAAGUUCUCGCCUCUUGCUUCGCCUCCAUCCCAAUUUCGAUACACUCGAUCGGGGACCACUUUUCCCCACGAAAGUUUCCGUACAGAGGAAAGAAGAACGACGACUCGCGGGACCAGUUUGUAAAAGGAUAACGCUCUUGGUCCUGGAAUAUUUUGCCUGCUGCGACAAACAGGCGGAAUUUAACUGGUGAACAUUUGGAAUUUGUUGCUCCUCAGAAGUAGGUAGCUUAAGGUGUUUGCAUACUUAGCAAAGAGAUGAGUUUUCGACGUUUGUUUAAAAUCUCGUAUUCGAUAGGAAUCGAUGAAAUUGACAAUUUCGUUUGCAGAUGAAGGAAUUUCCCCGUUUUACAACUUUGCCAAUUUUAACGUUUAAUUUUGGAAGUUCAGUUAAGUGGAUGAAACGAAUACAUAGGUUCCAUUUCUUCGUGUUAGAAAAAUAUUAAUUUGCAGAAAUAUUUACAGUCUACUAAUUACUUAUCGUAAUGAUUAACACGAGAUAAGCGAGUACUUAUAAAAAAGAAAUGAAAGAAUAUUCCUCAGUCGUUCGAUUUUAAAGAAAUAUAUCUACGUGUUCAUCUAACUUCCACCGUAAUUAAUUUCAUUGAUUUCGACAUAAUCGUGUAACGAGCCGUGAAUGGUAAUUUAAUGCAGCUUUAUGCUCUAAUGUAGCUUUCAAUUCGAAUAGAGAAAUGCUACUUGCUUGGCGAGACAAAAGGGACAAGGAGGAAGAAACCUUUAGUGUGUUUAACAAACAAAAGAACAUUUCACUCGAAAUGGAAGAAGAUUCUUAACCAACGAAACUCGCUUUCCGCUCAAACUGCGUCUGAAAGGGAAUUUCGAAUCCCUUAAGUUCCCAGCUGAACACCUUGGUAAUUAAAACGCAAAAGCGUCGUUGAAACUGACUUAACGCCUUUCUUAUUUAUCAUUGUCACUCUCAAAUAGUAUUUAUUUCAUUCGAUCUAUAAUAGAAACGAUCGAUGCAAGAGAUUGAUUGGAUUUAACGAGAUUGACAAAUUUUCAUUGCGCUUUACCUCGGCACAACAUUUUUAUCAAAUCGCGUGUCACAAAAACGAAGAUGGUUCGAGAACGACAAUAACAUACGAUAGCAAUUUCGAAGAAACGAUCUUUAAGGAUAGAACGAUUUGCAUGGCGAAAAAAGUAGCGAGAUAAAUUGUUACAGCGUAGGAGUUGCACAAAAGAGUUGCUGAAUGUUCGCCUUGAACGUACUAUAGUUUUCGUUUUUGCACUUGCACGCCACAUGCGUCCCAAUUUUGCUAUUAUAUCCGCGGUAAUACGCUAGUAAGUCGCCGUAGGGCAUAUUGUAAUUAACUACUCGUCAACAUUUUGCAUAAUGGCAUUGAAAGUUGCUGAAAUUUUAUCGAGAGAUCAAAGAUAAAUGUUAAUAAAUGGUAAUCACAGAUUCGUUAUUUUAACACUCAACUAUUUCUCUUUACGAAAGAAACUCGUAUCAUCGAAGAAAAUAUGUUUUAGCUGGAAAGAGAUUUCGAUGUUAGACGCGUGUACUUCGUAAAACUAUCCGUAAGAAAAAAUGUAGAUUGGACGUACGUGUUUGUAGAUUCGUUGGUUCUAAAAAGUAAUUAAUUUCGGCCCACGUAUGACUGAGAAUCGAAUCACUAUUCAAUGGAAACGAAAGCGCAUCCCGUACUACUUUGUCAGACCGGUAACAGAUUAUUUUACUAAAAUUCAGUAUCGUUCUUGCAGCGUAUAAAUUUCUUAGCGGAAACUCGCGAAUCAUUAACUUGCAACGAAUACACGUAUACGCUAUACACCGUAUCAACCGUGAAAAACAUGCUACUACAUUCGUUCAGCUGAACGACGACGAAUAGUAAACAUUUCUGCGUUUCAGUUUCAUCCGACAACCACGUCAGAUAGACGCACACCGUACUUAGUAUGGCACGCUCGAUAGAUUCAAAUCGUCGGGACGUACAAAUUGACCGUACGAUUGGAUGUUGGCAAAUCGUCGGAUAAGUGAUAUCGUGGAAUUUCCAACACCUAGAAACCGACUAUCACGAUACGCAUGUAUUUCCGCAAGGCGGCGGUAAUCGAAUCGAGAAGCAACAGAUGCCACGUAUAACCUGUUGCCAUUUGCAUGCUUGUCCAAACAUUCGGUUUAGCAAUGAUGCACUCUGACCCGAAUGAAAUUGAUGUUGGUGCCCUCUAAAACCACGGGGUUUUCGUUGCUGUUUCCACUUUGCAACGCCUAUACAUCAGCGUCUUGCGUGCAAAUUUAUCAUUGCAACCGCAGCUUAACAAGUUGAAAAAUUAAUUUCAGUCGAUACGCGAUGAAGCGACUCGAUAUAUUAUUUUGUACAUUCUCAGGUAUCUUACGCAAAAGGUAACGCGUGAGACGAGAUCUGAGUAUAAUUUUGAUACAAUGAAAUUGCACGAAAAUUCUAAUUUGUUUGGAUGUAUUUUAACACUAAUCGAUAAAUAAACAAUAUCAGAAUAACGA